rnacentral:rRNA from 1 species
UACGAAGGGGGCUAGCGUUGCUCGGAAUCACUGGGCGUAAAGGGUGCGUAGGCGGGUCUUUUAAGUCAGGGGUGAAAUCCUGGAGCUCAACUCCGAACUAGCCUUUGAUACUGAGGAUCUUGAGUUCGGGAGAGGUGAGUGAACUGCGAGUGUAGAGGUGAAAUUCGUAGAUAUUCGCAAGAACACCAGUGGCGAAGGUGGCUCACUGGCCCGAUACUGACGCUGAGGCACGAAAAGCGUGGGGAGCAAACAGGGAUUAGAA